rnacentral:rRNA from 1 species
GAAAGCGUGGGGAGCGAACAGGAUUAGAUACCCUGGUAGUCCACGCCGUAAACGGUGGACGCUGGAUGUGGGGCACGUUCCACGUGUUCCGUGUCGGAGCUAACGCGUUAAGCGUCCCGCCUGGGGAGUACGGCCGCAAGGCUAAAACUCAAAGAAAUUGACGGGGGCCCGCACAAGCGGCGGAGCAUGCGGAUUAAUUCGAUGCAACGCGAAGAACCUUACCUGGGCUUGACAUGUUCCCGACGACGCCAGAGAUGGCGUUUCCCUUCGGGGCGGGUUCACAGGUGGUGCAUGGUCGUCGUCAGCUCGUGUCGUGAGAUGUUGGGUUAAGUCCCGCAACGAGCGCAACCCUCGCCCCGUGUUGCCAGCACGUUAUGGUGGGAACUCACGGGGGACCGCCGGGGUUAACUCGGAGGAAGGUGGGGAUGACGUCAGAUCAUCAUGCCCCUUACGUCCAGGGCUUCACGCAUGCUACAAUGGCCGGUACAGCGGGAUGCGACAUGGCGACAUGGAGCGGAUCCCUGAAAACCGGUCUCAGUUCGGAUCGGAGCCUGCAACCCGGCUCCGUGAAGGCGGAGUCGCUAGUAAUCGCGGAUCAGCAACGCCGCGGUGAAUGCGUUCCCGGGCCUUGUACACACCGCCCGUCAAGUCAUGAAAGUGGGCAGCACCCGAAGCCGGUGGCCUAACCCCUUGUGGGAUGGAGCCGUCUAAGGUGAGGCUCGUGAUUGGGACUAAGUCGUAACAAGGUAGCCGUACCGGAAGGUGCGGCUG